UCGCCUGUUUAACAAAAACAUGUCUCCUUGCCAAUUUAAUAUGAGGAGUCGGCCCUGCCCGGCGGCAAGAAGCUAAGCGGUUGCAACGGAUAGUUGUGCUAAGGUAGCGCAAUCAAUUGUCCUUUAAUUGGGGAAAGGAAUGAAGGGGUUGACGAGGGUGAGCUGUCUCUGUAGUAUAGCUUAAACUUUUCUUUUAAGUGAAAAGACUUAAAUUUUUAAAUAAGACGAGAAGACCCCGGCGAGCUUAAUUUAUGUUUAAAAAUAAGUUAAACACGAAGGUUUGUUGGGGCAACGCAAGAGGAAAACUACUCUCUUGAAUAGUUAUAUUGAUCCAUUAUGAAUGAAAAAAGCAAAAGCUACCGCGGGGAUAACAGCGUAAUUUUUUUAUAGAGUUCAUAUCGAAAAAAAAGUUUGCGACCUCGAUGUUGGAUUAAAUUUUCCUCUUGGUGCAGAAGUUAAGAAGGAAGGCCUGUUCGUCCUUUAAAAUUUUACGUGAUCUGAGUUCAGACCGGA
rnacentral:rRNA from 1 species